AUGCAGUCGAGCGCACCCUUCGGGGCGAGCGGCGGACGGGUUAGUAACGCGUGGGAACAUACCCUUUUCUACGGAAUAGCCUCGGGAAACUGAGAGUAAUACCGUAUACGCCCUUCGGGGGAAAGAUUUAUCGGAGAAGGAUUGGCCCGCGUUAGAUUAGAUAGUUGGUGGGGUAACGGCCUACCAAGUCUACGAUCUAUAGCUGGUUUUAGAGGAUGAUCAGCAACACUGGGACUGAGACACGGCCCAGACUCCUACGGGAGGCAGCAGUGGGGAAUCUUAGACAAUGGGCGCAAGCCUGAUCUAGCCAUGCCGCGUGUGUGAUGAAGGCCUUAGGGUCGUAAAGCACUUUCGCCAGGGAUGAUAAUGACAGUACCUGGUAAAGAAACCCCGGCUAACUCCGUGCCAGCAGCCGCGGUAAUACGGAGGGGGUUAGCGUUGUUCGGAAUUACUGGGCGUAAAGCGUACGUAGGCGGAUCAGAAAGUAGGGGGUGAAAUCCCAGGGCUCAACCCUGGAACUGCCUCCUAAACUCCUGGUCUUGAGUUCGAGAGAGGUGAGU
rnacentral:rRNA from 1 species